GCCACGUGAAGGAUGUGUUUGCUUCCCCUUCCACCAUGAUUGUAAGUUUCCUGAGGCCUCCCCAGCCAUGUGGAACUGUGAAUUAAACUUCUUUCCUGGAGUGUGAAAAUGAACUAAUAAACUCUGUGACCUCAGAGACUCCCUCUCUGUGACCCUGUUCUCAAAUGUAUGAAGAUGGGUGCUCAAAGAUCUCUCUCUAAACAUGGAACAGGGCCUGUCUGAAGACAUAAGUGAUUAACUUCUAAUCUAUAACUAAGGUCUGAGUCCUGAAGACCUUCCUCUGGAGGCUGAGUAGUUAAUCUAGAUGGGUCCAGGUGCUGCAGGUAAAAUACCUCUUUUCUGACAAGACUAGGACUCUUACAUAGACUACCAUGAACUAAAAGAAGCACAACAUUGCCAGAGUAACCUGUGAUACUGUCUUCAUGCGAACUUGGUAUCCUGUUUCCAUCCCAGCCUUCUAUAACCCAGUAACAUCUUUUUUGAAACCAGUGGGUGAGAAAGACACCUGGUCAGGAACGCGGACCACAGGACAACUCAGGCUCACCCACGGCAUCAGACUAAAGGCAAACAAGGACUCUGUAUAAAGUACCGGUGGCAUGUGUAUUAGUGGAGAUGCAGCCUGUGCUCUGCAGACAGGGAGUCACACAGACACUUUUCUAUAAUUUCUUAAGUGCUUUGAAUGUUCAAGUAGAAAGUCUAACAUUAAAUUUGAUUGAACAAUUGUAUAUUCAUGGAAUAUUUUGGAACGGAAUACCAAAAAAUGGCAAUAGUGGUUCUUUCUGGAUGGAAGACAAACUUUUCUUGUUUAAAAUAAAUUUUAUUUUAUAUAUUUGAGGUUGACCACAUGACCUUAAGGAUACAUAUAGACAGUAAACUGGUUACUACAGUGAAGCAAAUUAACAUAUCUACCAUCGUACAUAGUUACAUUUUUUUGUGUGACAGGAACAGCUAAAAUCUACGUAUUUAACAAAAAUCCUAAAGACAAUACAUUUUUAUUAACUAUAGCCCUCAUGAUGUACAUUAGAUCUCUAACUUGAUCAUCCUAUAUGUCUGCUUUGUAUUUUCUUAAUGUACGUCUCCCCAUUUGCUAUUGGUCAUUUCCUAUUUGGCUCAUUUUUCAACUGGGUUGUUUUCCUGUUAUUAAAAGAGUUCUUUACUGA
rnacentral:lncRNA from 1 species